AAAGAUAAAUUGCUUUCCUUUUCGCAUUUCGCUCGUUCAGUCGUUCUUUUCAUUCGGAGACGCUGUCCGUGAAGGUUUGGUACUUUGGUUCAUUCUUACAGGAAACUCUCUCCCCUGAUAUUUUUCGGCUCAAAAAUGCCUGGUGUGAAGUCCAAGCUUCUUCAUUGCAUUACGUGUACCUGCUAGCUGCCGUGGAAUUAAGGUUUUCAUAGACGGUUUGAUGAUUGAGCCCAUGUUGAGGCUAUUUGGGGUGCAGUGGUUUUCCAGUAGAGAUGCGUUGAAAUGGAGUUUGGCAAGACUUUUUGUUUGAUGAGUGUGUCUUCCAGGGGGCAACUUCCUGGUGUUAGCAACAUGCCAACAUGCGGCAAGCUUAUGCCGGUUACGUCAUUUCUGUUGCGGGUGUUGUCAGUUACAGUGUUCGUGAUCUGCCGUCAACUUCAACAUUCUUUUUCACAAAUAUCCUCAAGCUCCAUUAUCAAAAUUUAAAUGCUGAGGUUUUUUAAGAACAGUAAAAGAACUUCAGCUUAAUUCCUAUAUUCUUUGGGUCUUGCCUGUGAUACACAUCAGUUCUUGACUUUUGAAGUAUUUUCCCUGUAGACUUUGCUGGCUGAUUGUUUGAUGUUUCCUUUCAAGUAGGAUUAAUGGCUUGGUGAAGUUGAGCUUUUUCAAGGCAGUUUAAUGUCCACUUCGAUUUGUUGCAGCCAGUUGGUUAACGAUGUGGUGAGCUGUUGUAUGAAGACCAUGUGCUGUUGUGAUGAGCUUCUGCAUGCAGCCUGUGGUGCUGGGGGGGAAGUGCUGUAUGUUGUCUGUUGAGUGUGGUGCUAGCUUUAAAUUUGAAGAACUCACUACCUUACCAAUUGAGUUUUGAGUCAUUCAUUUUUUUAAUUGUGAGCGUUUUCAAAGUCAGUUUGAGUUUAUUUCGGUGUCUAUUUGGUGUGCAGUUCAUGUUCGGGUUGUUUUUUGCAGCCAGAUGUUGAUAGGGAAUUCAAGGCAAGUUGAGCUGCAGGUUCUGUAAGCAAUCUUCAUUGUUGGCGCCAUCCUGGAGUUUGAUAGCAACGUAGUCAUCUGGAAAUGGAUCGUGUAAAUGUUCAGCGGUUUCGUAAUCUGAUUCCAGUUCAAGAUUUUAUCCUGAAUCGAGCUGAAGUCCCUGCAGUAACUGUUUCUGGUGUCAUCCUGAUGUUGCUGUGCCGGUGAAAUACCAGUUGAUAACAAAUUUGAUCUGUAUAUGUGUUUCAUCCUAAGUAUAUGGAAGUUCAAGGUUUGUGAUUGAAUUCUCCAUUAUGAUAUGAUGUGACAAAAGUUUCAACUGUAGUCAUCCUAUGAUAUUACCUCAACCCUAAUUAUUUCGUUCACUUAAUAUUUGUGUAUCAAAGUCAAACCUGCAAUUUUUUGUUAUACUUGUAAAUUUGCUAUUGAAAUCUUUCUGUACAAAUGUUGCAAUAAAAAUAAAAUAUUUAAGCUUUAAAA